UCAAUGCAGGAAUGACGUAUAAUUUUAGUGGCAGUAGGAUGAUAGUGGUGGUGAUGAUGGUAGACGUAUUCAAAGAAUGAGAUGUGUGACUAGGGCUGUGGGAUGCCGAGGAAUUUGGCUUUGUAUUUAUAGAUACAAGCGUGUAAGGUAGGACGUUGAAUAAUAACUAAAGGUGCAUGAGGAAAUGCUUGGCGGAUGGCGUUGUGGGUGUCAAAGUGAAAGAUUUGGUUUGGUGGGCAUGAGAUGAAGGCAUUUGCGUUUCGUAGGAAGAAAGUGGAAGAAGAUCCAAAGCAGGCCUGGAGCCUUAUAUUUGGAAGGGCUCCAAAUGGAGAAUAAUGAUUGGAACAUUGUCCUUGUCGCCUUGCUCCCAAUUCCUUUGCCUUGGUCUUCGGUUUUGCCCCAGGGAAUAAAAUUCCUCACAAAUUACCAAACUGUUGCCUAUCCUUUGCAGAAAGCUGCAAAAGCACGAAGAUGAAGAUGAUAGCAAGAUGGCAAGGCAGAAAUUGCCAGCAUAAUCUUUGCUCUGAUACAAGAAAACAGCGUGGAGGAGCAGAUGAGACAGGGGGAGGGGGAAACAGGAUGGAAUAAAUUUAGAGGACGAUAUUUUGGUCGAAGUGAUGGAUGACCCCACCACAUUUGUAAUGUUGCAGCUUGGACGGACAUAGCAUGGAGCGAGGGGGUUGAGGCCGUAGCUCUUGGUCUUGUUUCUCUUGCUUUCUCCUAUCUUUGUACUCUUUUCCUCGCUGCCUUUUCCCAUGUUAAUGUUGGUUCAUAACACGGCCAAUUAAUCGUGUCUGACCUUCCUGCCUUUUUGUUCUCAAUACCUGAUUAACUUUUUUCGAGUGUUUUGAUUGACAUAGGAUUCUUGAUUGAUCAUGCACUUCAUGCCUCGUCCCACUCAGCGCCGCUUGUCUCGCAGAGUGUACCUGAGUCUCAUCGCUUGCUUUUCCUCGUCUACUUUUGCCUGUUUGAUCUGGUGACAAGCACGUCAACCAUAUCAAAAAUUAAUUAAGGAUCUCGGUUAUCAGAUCUAUGCUAAUCCUGUUUCUGGCAACCAUGGAUUUAGUGUGUCCUUGUACUGAUGGCAGUCUUCAGCCUCUUAUAAAGAUUAAUUCUUCAUAAAUCCUUGUAACUCCACAUUUGAGUCUUCUGAUUUCCAAGGAAAGUAUUUUGCUCGAAAGAGAAAACCCGUUCUCUUGGGUUGUGAGAAAUAUCGCUUACUUUUUGGAAGAUAUGCGCUCCUUAUAGAGCUUGUGUAUGCUUAGACAAAGGUUCUGGCAAGAAAAUGAUUUACAA